ensembl:lncRNA
CGGAAACCGUACGGAUUCCGUACGGAUUUGGCAAGAAUCUUGCACUUUUACCGCGCCAUUCUAGGGCCGGAUUGUGGCCUUCUUGGCUUUCCAUACGGUUAAGCCAGCCGUCACACAAAAUCUUCGUGCGCCUUUACCGUUUCUCGUCUCCUUUGCCGUCUCUCGUCUCGAGCUUCUCGCUCACAACCAAUCACGUUCUUCUGGUCGCUAGUUCUUAAUUGAUUUCAGCUGCGUCUCCCCCGCCUCUCCUCAUAAGGCGCCCCCACCGUGCCGGAUGUUAAUCGUUUAUUUUGCGUUGGAUUGCGUGGGCUGAACAAUCCGGACAUCGUGGCCACCGACGUGGACCCCGCGAACCACGCAGUGAGUAACGCGGGGUACUUCCUUCAUGGGCACUGCACAUGUUACACUCUCCCCAUCUCCUCCUGUCGUCUGUUCUUGCCCCUCUAUUGUACAUGUUUUACCGCUGGAGGUUAAUGUGGAUUUGCUGAUGGAAGUGGUAGUUUGUGUUGAGUGGUUUAUCUAUGGGAUCGACUGACUAACGCUGCGGACCGCUACAGCACCGACCACCACACUGGGAAGCGUCCUCUGCUCACUGUGGAAGCAGCAUGGAAGAACUGCAGCAACUCUGAUGGAAACUACAGGACCGCCACGCUGUUGAACACAAACUGUUGUAGGCCUACUACAAACAGAGGCGGUCCCACUCGGUUAAAGAUCUUGUUGUCAAUGCGGCAGACCGCUGGACCUGGACGUCACCUUCUGCAGAUACUUAACUGCCCUCAGGGAAUCCACGGAUAACUUGAAACAUGUCCGACUCCACAUGUCCGAAAAAUCCAGGAUGGAAACUUGUGGAAGGAAGAAAAGUUCUGUUUUUGCUCAACCCAUAACCCCACUGAGCCCUUCUGUGGAAACCUGUCUGACUGACCCUACUGACUGGGGGCCUGUUGUGUGUUUGGUUGGUCUGGUAGAAGGUUUGCUGCUUGUGAUCUGCAAGGUGGUCCUGGGUUAGAUGCGGUGUCUGACUUGCACACCACUCUCCCAAUUCUAUUCUUCUCUUUGCUACUUUUCUACUUUCAAUACACUUGCUGCUGCUGCUGUUGACCGCUGGUGGUGCAAUGUGGUUUUUAUUCGCGUAUGUUCUGUGGACUUUGCAUUUGUAUUUUAAUGAACACGUUUACUGCCCGUUAGACCUCGGAUUGGCAAACCUAAACUCCUUCACUGGCAAAAUGUAGAUGCAACUUAAAUGCCCAAAUUAACACUUCAAUAUUCGUUUUGCGUAUUUCACCAAUAGCUUCGGAACUAGACGGACCUCGUAUAUAAUUUGCUCUUCAAAGAUGCGGUCAGGCGCCCCUCCGUUAUAUAACGUUUUCUGCCCGGUACGAAAUAGACCGACCAAUAGCAACCCUUUAGGCCAUCUAAUGUGAGGUUAGAUAUACGCAACAUGUAGAGGUGUUUCAACAACAAAGAUGGAAGUUAGAACUAAAGACUGUAUAUGCUCACUAAAAGAACGAACGACUACUACUCAAAGAUUUUGAGGAAUAUGUAUUUCUGCAUCACCCGUUCCAAUGCUAUGAUUAGUCGAGGCCUAUCCAAUAGCAUCGACCCAUUUUAUAUCGCGCCCUUUAGACGCGCCCCUUGGAAAUUGAACAACGCAUUUCAACGCAGAGGAUCCAGAAGGAUUUCACAACGAGUCCAUUGGAAGAUAUCAAGGAACAUGAACAUCACCAAUGAAGGAGAGUAACGUUUCCACUUGCUAUAGGAAUUUAGUGAAGCACUAAAUAGUUAAUAAUAAUAAAAUGUGGUCACCAUUUAUUGACUCGUUGGGUAAGACUUGCUUUACUAAUAUAACCGCGUUAAAACUAUUCAUUUACUUUUCUUGUGUAGUUUCCCACUAUUCAUUAAAUGUUUUAUAGAAGUACUAAUGUGUAUAGUUCUAUUAAUUACAUUUUUAUAACAAUUAAUCAUUAUACAGGAUUUGAACAUUUUCUACCCAAGCUCAUGCGUCCCAAAUAAUUUAUGAACAGUGGUUUGUUUUUGUUCAGGAGCGGCUUGUACUCCCAGAGGCUUCAACAGAGAGGGUCUGGAGCUGGGAGCUGCAGGUGGAUGGUGGCCAGGAGCCGUUCAGUCCUACAGGAACGACGGUAGAGGUGAUGGAGGUGCUCGCCAUGAGGUCCGUGGCGGUCGUCUGGAGGUGCUCACCUGGAGGUCCGUGGCGGUCGUCUUGAGGUGCUCGCCGUGAGGUCCGUGGCGGUCGUCUGGAGGCGCUCGCUGCAGGUGGAGGGAAGGCCGAGAGCCGUGCAGCCCAAGGGAUGCAGAACGAAGGACUGAGGCGGAGGCCAGCCUGGAGGCGGAGGCCAGCCUGGAAGUCCUGGAUGCGUCCAACCUGGAAGGGGCGGCAUGGAGGGGCCAGGUGGCGGCUCCUCAUCCAAAGGGCCCAGAGGCGGCCAACCUGGAAGGCCUGGAGACGGCGGAGGUCCUGGAGGCGGACGCCAACCUGGAGGUCCUGGAGGCGGUGGGCCUGGAGGCGGCGGCGGCAGUGGCCAUCCUGGAGGCGGACUACCUGGAGGUCCUGGAGGCGGAUUGUGGAGACCAUCCUGGAGGGCCUGGAGGUGGCGUCCACAUGGUGGUGGCCGGCCUGGAGGCAGUGGCCAACCUGGAGGUCCUGGAGGCGGUGGGCCUGGAGGCGGCGGCAGCGGCCAUCCUGGAGGCGGACUACCUGGAGGUCCUGGAGGCGGAUUGUGGAGACCAUCCUGGAGGGCCCGGCGGCGGCGUCCUGGAGGGCCCGGAGGCGGAGGCUCCUCAUCCAAAGAAAUGAGGCGACGUUGCGGAGGUCCAGGCGGUUGGCCCGGUGGAGGUCCUGGAGGAGACGGCCUGGAGGUGGAGGACGGCUGGGGGAUCCGGCGGUGGAGGUCCGAAGGCGGCUCGUGUUUAGACCAACCAGCUCCUCAUCCAUGGAAGGAUUGAAGGAGUCACUGGGGAUGAAGAUCACUGCUCAGGGGCUGACGACCCCCCCUCCUCAUCUUUCUGGAGAAGGUGUAUAAAUCUACAGCUGAUGUGAUUAAAGUUCUGCAGUUCAGAUCCGCUGAUAAAUGGUCCCAUACCGUAUCCACAGCGUCCUCAUGGUGCAGGCGGUCAAACCUCCACCUCUUUGAAGAGACCAAGCAGCUUGAUGACUGACUGGUUCCUUAUACUCAGGACCUCGAGCAGAGGAUAGACCUAAGGCCUACAGCGCAGCAGACUAGAGACUCCAUGUGGAACCGGUUCAAUUAAGUUGACCUCUCCUUCAGGCAACUUAAAGGGAGACCAGAUGUGCGGCAGCUGGGUGUCAUGGUGCAGAGACCCAACGCUGUACUGAACUACACCAGUGUGUCCUACUCCCCAUAAACCCUGAGGAUCCCUGGCUACACCAGCACAUUAAUCCACACCCAACAUUAACACACAGUGCACACUCUAUAGAGCUUGUAAGUCCGCCCCUUGCGGCGGGACCUCGUGAGAUCGUAAAAUAUGACUGGGUUUCAAUGGAGAGAAAGUAAAUAUUUUCUCCAUUAUGUUGCACCACAUUUUGGGGGAAGAAUGUUUGAAUCAAUCUUUGUCAUUUAUUUCUGUACUCCAUAUCUGUAAUCCCAGCUGUUGUAUUUUAACACGGUAGCUGGGAACCCUCUUUAUAGGGAGUGACUAGAGGGACGAGGCUGGAAGCAAACCUGAGCCUGGAUCUUAACCUUCUUUCUAAACCUAAUGCCGCAAUUUAACCUCAAAUAAAGUGAGGCCUAAAGUAACUUGACUCUCUUGCCUAAACUCGCUUGCAUAAAACCUGAACUUGCUUGGCUAAACUCGCUUGCCUAAUACCUGAACUUGCUUGCCUAAACUCGCUUGCCUAAUACCUGAACUCGCUUGCCCAAUACCUGAACUUGCUUGCGUAAACUCGCUUGCCUAAUACCUAAACUCGCUUGCCUAAACUCGCUUGCCUAAACUCGCUUGCCUAAAUACC